UGGGGAAUAUUGCACAAUGGGCGGAAGCCUGAUGCAGCAACGCCGCGUGAGCGAUGAAGGCCUUUGGGUCGUAAAGCUCUGUCCUUGGGGAAGAAAAAAUGACGGUACCCUUGGAGGAAGCCCCGGCUAACUACGUGCCAGCAGCCGCGGUAAUACGUAGGGGGCAAGCGUUAUCCGGAAUUAUUGGGCGUAAAGAGUGCGUAGGUGGUCUUGUAAGCGCGGGGUGAAAGGCAAUAGCUCAACUAUUGUAAGCCCUGCGAACUGUGAGGCUUGAGUGCAGGAGAGGAAAGCGGAAUUCCUAGUGUAGCGGUGAAAUGCGUAGAUAUUAGGAGGAACACCAGUGGCGAAGGCGGCUUUCUGGACUGUAACUGACACUGAGGCACGAAAGCGUGGGGAGCAA
rnacentral:rRNA from 1 species